UACGAAGGGGGCUAGCGUUGCUCGGAAUCACUGGGCGUAAAGCGCACGUAGGCGGAUUGCUAAGUCAGGGGUGAAAUCCUGGAGCUCAACUCCAGAACUGCCCUUGAUACUGGCGGUCUCGAGUCCGGGAGAGGUGAGUGGAACUGCGAGUGUAGAGGUGAAAUUCGUAGAUAUUCGCAAAAACACCAGUGGCGAAGGCGGCUCACUGGCCCGGUACUGACGCUGAGGUGCGAAAGCGUGGGGAGCAAACAGG
rnacentral:rRNA from 1 species